rnacentral:rRNA from 1 species
GAUGAACGCUAGCGGCAGGCCUAACACAUGCAAGUCGAACGGUAACAGGAAUUAGCUUGCUAAUUUGCUGACGAGUGGCGCACGGGUGCGUAACGCGUAUACAAUCUACCUUUUGCUGAGGGAUAGCCCAGAGAAAUUUGGAUUAAUACCUCAUGGUAUUAUUGAUAGGCAUCUAUUAAUAAUUAAAGAUUUAUUGGUAAAAGAUGACUAUGCGUUCUAUUAGUUAGUUGGUGUGGUAACGGCAUACCAUGGCGACGAUAGGUAGGGGCCCUGAGAGGGGGAUCCCCCACACUGGUACUGAGACACGGACCAG